AUGGAAACGCUCCGUGCGAGAGAGCGCGACGAGGAGCGCGUUGAAGGCGACGGUGUCGGGAGGGAAGCCGGAAGCGGACGCGCGCAGGGCGGCGUGGAAUGCGUGGCGAAGGCGGGCGCGGCGGAGGAGCGCCUUGACGAGGAGGCCGGGGAGGGAGGGGUGGGGCGCGGUCUGGUAGGAGAGGAGGAGAGUGGGGAGGGCGUCGUGGGUUGGGUGGAGGCGGAGGAGGUGGGUGAGCGCGUCGAGCGCGUGGGAGAAGAAGCGGGUGGUGGCGAGGGAGUGCGCGAGGAAGGCGAGGUGGGGAGGCGACGGCUGGAGCGGCGGCGGCAGUGCGAUGAGGAAGCGGAGGGUGGGAAGCGGGUGAGAGUGGCCGGCGUGGAGCACGACGGCGGUGAGCUCGUCCUGGCCGAGGUAGGGGAGCAGGCCGGAGAGGUCGAGGGUCUUGGUGGGUUCCGCGUCGGCCGUGAGGUGGGUGGUGAUGAGGUCGACGACGGCGACGUGGGGAUUCAGGGCGCGCGGGAGGAGGGAGGUCAGGGUGCUCGACGGAAUGCGCGACACGGUCUUGGACAUGGUCCCCCUGCCCCUGGGCCUGGCCUUGGCUUGGACACUUCAAACCGAAACCCUCCGACUCCGAUCGCGUGUUUGUUUGGUGGGAACUAA
rnacentral:rRNA from 1 species